GGGAAAUGAGAGCGGGAGAGACGGGGGGAGGAGGAGGAGAGAUGCUGCAUUUUAGUGAUAGCACAGACUCAGCCUGCAGGAGCAGAGAGAGGGAUGGAGAGAAUGGAUGGGAGGUAGAAAAUAAGAGAGAAGCAUUGUCAGAGAGAGAGCGAGCACGACAGGAUCCCCACACAGAGUGUGACAAGUGGGACUUGACAAAGCAGCAGGAGCAGAGAUUAAAGAGAGAAAAAAGGAGUAAACUUGCGUGACUGAUCACAGCCAGUGAGAAGACGUUUCCCGCUAUAAAAGGAGAAAGAAAGUCAUCUGGAACCAAACUAAGAGAGUACUAGCAGCAGCAGGAUCACAAAGAAAAACUGAGGAAAGCACUUCAAGGCAGACUAUAGCAUCUGUUGUGCAAAGUGUGGAUCUCUCUUUCCUUUUUCUCUCUGCUUGACUAUCUAUCCGCAGGCUGUCCUUCCAUCUGUCUCAGCGGGAUGCAAAAGUGCAGUUUUGGUGUUUGGUACAAAGAGAAAUGCUGAACGCAACCUGAUGUGUUGUUCUGGAAGGAAAAGGGAGGAGAGACAGCAGCAUGACUCACACAGCAGCUAGGAUAUUGUGCAUUCUACAUGCAAGAGAAGAGGGAGAGGGAGACAAAGGAACAAUGACAAAGAUAAAGGGAGAAAAAUAGAAAGCGAAUUGACCAGAACUGAGCAGUCAUUAGACAGAUGAAGGACGAGAUGAGGACAGAAGCAGCCGCACUGGCAAGUGUUGAGUGAGAUAUAGGCCAAGUGAGUCAGCUUGCUAGAGGGAGAGGGUGGCGAGAAGAGGGCGAGUUUCAAAAGUAGAGGGUCUGGUAUGACCAAAGCUGGUCGAGGGAAGGUUGAAUGAAGGUUUUCUGCAGGGUGGAAAGUGGACACAGAACUGCAAAGAACAGAGAGACAGGUUUAAAUGAAAAAAACUACUUGGGGAACACUCCUGAGUAAAUGUGUCUUGCUACAGGGAGAGAACAUGACUGAGGAGCAAGGAGAUAAAGAAGAGACAAGGCUAGGUAAGAGCAAAAGUGAACAUCCAAGCAGGACAGUAAGAGAGUUGAACUGAAAACAUCACAACACAGAGAACUUCCAAAGCACAACGGUGGGGAAUGGAAACUUUAAUCGUGACAGCAACACAGCAAAAGGUUCCUGUUAAAUAUUGAUGCUGACAGGCCACACCGGGAAGAGCUCGCUCCUUGCACCAGGGAGCAGGAAGCUGAAGGCAAAAAUUCUGUUGUUUUAGAUGCAUUCUACAGGAAUUUUACACUGGAACAGACAAGCUGUUAAACGGCAUCAGAUGACAGGCGAGUGUGGUGAAGUCAUUGAAAUGCUGUAAAUUAAGAAAAGGCCUACAACGAGGUUUGAUUCAUCUUGCUGGAGGUUUUUUUUUGUCCAGCUGUGCAGAGUGGAAAGACAAAGACUACAGAGAGAAGAACAGCAAGAAAAAGAAGAAUCAAUAUUUGAGAGAACAUUGAGACCACAUCAGGACUAGGGUGGUUUCUGUUCCAAAAGAGAAAAAGAACUAGAGUUGGCUGCUCAGUACAGAUUUAUAUUUUAGAUCGACGAUGAGAAAAACUAAACACCACUGAGACAUUGGCUAACUAUUGUUGUUUUGGUCUUGGACUGAUUGGAACUACCCCAACUUUCUGAAAAUGGCCUCAUUACAAAGACUUAGCCAGUGGAAGUCUGUUGUCAUGACUUGAGGAAAUGACUAAAUAAAGUCACAAUGGUUCCUCAUGUCAGGGUAGAGACAUUAAGGUAGAGACUGCCUUCUCUCCGACCCGAAUCCUGAAAACAUCACACGGUAACGCAGGAACAGAUCUGGUCUAUGUGUGUGUGUGGCUGUGUGGGGGUGUAAGGGCUGUUGGAGGAGCUCAGCUGUGUUCGUGCAUAUGCUUGUGUAGGUCUGGGUAUAGAGGUGUGUGUGUGUGUACACUAAGCUUUGAACCCAGGUGUAUCUAAGUGUAUUUUCAAAGUAUCGCCCAGAGCUGUGUGUGCUUGUCUGUGUGUGUUGCCUGGAUUCUCCCAACCAGCGACGGAGCCAGACCUGAACAGCAUUGGUGAGAGGGGGACGAAGAGGGAGAGGAGGAAGAGAAGAGGGAGGUGAAAGAGACCAGCAGGACAAAGAAGAAACAACCGACAACAUGCUCGGGUAAAGAAGAGAAAGAAAGGCAUCGUUGGCUGCCCCUCUGGUGCAAUGUGUGGCGUCGCACCCUGUGGAGGUGGGGUUUUGUGAUGGUAACCAUGAUCCCCAGCAGCCGCUAUGUCUGCAGCGCUCACUCCAGAGAGGAGGACUCCACAAACGAUUUCGAGGAGCGAAUUUUAGCUGUGCUGGGCAUUAUCGGAACCAUCCUCAAUCUUUUAGUGGUCAUAUUUGUUUAUAUCUACACCUCCGUCACCUAAGGUUUCCUGGGACCAGAGACGCUGACACCAUCACUGACUUUUCUCCACACCGCCACCACUCUCUUUAAGUAUUUAUAAGAUGUGUGGAUCACUGGCAGCAUGUUCAGCUGGAUAGAAGCCAUAUUUAUGUACACCUGAAUUACUACUUCUUCAUAAGACAUCUCUAUUGUUACUUACAGACUGGUGCCAAUCACAAAAUCAGGGCUACAGGUGGAAACACCUGCACGCCACUGUUCACACUGAACUGUAUCCUCACAUUUUUCAAGACCGGUUCAAUAACCUCAGUUAAAUGACAGAUGAUAGUGUGUCCAGUCUGGUUAUGAUUACAUGGCUCUGGCAUAAGCUUCUCUAUCACUGCUCAGACAGAUGGAGUUCAGCUCUUACACUAAGUGUUUUGGAGCUGAUGAAGGUUGAAUUUGACUGUGCUGCAUCUUCCACUUUGCUGUUUAACUCUGAAAGUAUAUGGCUUCUGUCAACAACCUUGCUCCUGUGUGGGAUUAAAGACAUAGUCACUGCCAGUUCAGCUUAACAGUCUGAAAGCACAGAGCUUUCAGUUAACUUGACCAAAUUCGGGAUGGUAAAGGGACCAAAACUGGGAGUUGAAUCAUCAGCAGAGGGACCCUUAGGCACCCUUAAAUCCACUUGACUAGUACAACCCUACAAAUGGUCAGGCAAUCACUUGCGCCUUGCUAAAUAGUUUCUGCAGUUAUUAGAAUCACUGAAAAGGUUUUACAUGGACCCAACGUGUCCAUACCUGAGCACACCAGAGGAGAGAUUCCUGGCUGUGUUGGGAAUUAUUGGCAUCUUACUCAAUCUCCUGCUGCUUCUCUUUGUCUAUGUAUACACUUCCACCUGAUGGGUGGUACGAGUUAUGAGAUAACUUACCCACAGUAACUGCACAGUGAUCACAGACUAUGCUCUUCAACCACUAUGUAUAUAUUGUACCUAAGUACAACCUGGUCCAUAGCUGGUUUGAUCAUUUUCUAGGUGAGCUUCAGUGUCUAAAGACAGUGAAAUUCUAAUAAAAGAUCUUGGUGAACAGAAGGUGAUGAGAGAAUGUAAAGGCAAAACUGUAUACAGAUUUCCUCACAGAUAGAUUUAAAAAAUUCACUGUUUCUGUGGAAAACAUGUCCUACAGUUAGUGUUUUUGUAGAUACUGUAAUCGCUUGCAUAUGUGCUUAAUGAGAUGUUUACUAAAGCUCAUACUGGUAUAAUCAAAUAUUCUUAAUCAUACUUUGACCACAAUAACUGAUGUAAAGACUGUAAUCUUUGCAGUAUUUUGGUUUGUUCUUCAAGCAUACUGAUGUUGAAAACAGCCAGACAUGGAACUGGAUGCAGCAGCUCUGCACACUAGUAAAAUGCCCUCUGUGAACGGUUGGUACCACAGAAUAACAGCCUAUUUUCUGGUGUCAUGUUUCUUUAAGUCAGAAACAGAGCAACAUCAGAGAGGGCAAAGUGUGGAACUGACACACUGUCACACAAAUCAAGAGAGUGUGCUGUUGCAGUCCAAUACAAAGAGAUGCAAUGGUAACAGAGAAAAUGGAGAGAACCAGGGUGGACUGUCUGGAACGUGCAGACAUAAAACAUCUGUACGAGGCCUCGCCAUCUGCCUCGAAAGUCAUGAAGGCACAAAAACCUCCCUGGGAUUGGUCUACAACAUUUUUGCUAGUGCUGCAUGUCACUGUGGAUGUGAGUUUAGGUUUAAGCGCUGCACUUCUGAUGGAGAGGUGAACCUAAAUGCAGCUGACAAGCGAGAAGGAAAGACUGGUCUGAAUCUCCACUUCAUUCUACCCAUUCUUUUUUCCACCAACAAGCUAACACCAGAAAAGACAUAGUACUGAGAGGACCCACGUGAGUCUCUGCUGUUAUUUGACAUAGCACAAUACUUUUAUAUAUAUAUAAAUACACCUGUGAGAAGGACUUUGUUUCAUACACAAUCAAUUUGGGGGUCUGGGAAAGACGUGACAGUAACCAGUGACUGACUGCUCACUUAACAUACUGCAAUUUUAUAUACAGUAUCAGCUUGUGUGAAUACAUUUUUGAUAAUCAGCGCAUAACAGGAUCCCUUGUUACAUUGUGAAUGUACAGCAAACGUGUAUGUAAAUAAAGUGGUAAUGUAACUAAUCUGGCUAUCGGAAGCUGUUUUACAACUUGUACGAUUAUCUGACAAGUAUUGUUUCUUGCCCCAUUGGAUCUACAGUACCUGUGUGUUCUGAGAUGCCAGCAAGUGUGAUGUUAUGGCUGGAACCAAUGGCCUGAUAUCUAAAUAAUAAUAAUAAAAAAAACAAAAACUGCACUUAACCCUGCAAUUAAGUCUUAACACAGACAUCCCUUUACAAACUGAGAAAAGGCUAAAAACUCCUCCACUUCCAAAAUGUCCUUAAACCUCAAAUUUACUUUCUCACAAAGAUAUAAAUGCAAGCACACACACACACUAACUACUUGCAUCUCUUUUCAUGACAAUAAUUUUAUAUCUUUCACCACACAUUAGGAGAUUUGACUGUUAGCAAGCCCUGACUGAUGUGACUUGCACAUUUACUCCCUAUCACAUCUCAUAACCGUACAGUGGAGUUCAUUGAGCUAAAUCCUUUUUAGGGUGCACCAAGGCAGAGUAUGAAGCACCUUUGGUUUGGCAGACCUCUGCUGUCAGACUGCGCCACAGCUGUGCAGAAGUGCAUUUGAACAUACUUUGAAAUACUUAAAAAGUACUGGAUAUAUUUUGGGCCCACUUUGUGCCAUCUCUGAAGGGUCACUGAUGGUAGCAAACAAACAAAAUGAACAAGCCUGCUCAACUGUUCAGAUCAGGUUUACUUAGAUACUUGGAGAGUUUUAUUUUACAGUACUGCCUUCUAACAAGAUGCCCUUUAUAAAGGGUUUACAAGUUGUCACUAAUGCCCUGUUAAUAGUUAAUCAUUUACUGAUGCUUUACAAAUACCUUAAAUACCAGUUAUAAGACCUCCCUUGCAGUUGCCAUGUUGUGAAAAA